AUGGCGGAGCCCUUAGCUCUCAAAUUUGGCCUAAAUUUAGCGCAAAGGGCGGGAUGUAAUCGCCUAAUCAUCAACUCUGACAAUCGGGAGGUGAUUGAGACAAUGCAAGACGGAGGACAGUCAGCGGGAGCGGCUGCGGCAAUUUUCGAUGACUGCUAUCACUAUGCUUGUGAUUUUAUCAUGACUAAAUUCGAACAUUGUAAUAGAGAGGCAAAUAAAGUAGCACAUGAACUUGUUAGAUUAGCUAGUUUUUUUACUUUGGUUUGGUUUGAGGAGCCUAUUAGUGAAAUUGUAACACUUUUCACAAACGAUGUAUUGGUUAUUGCUAAUGAAUAA
rnacentral:rRNA from 1 species